AUACUUACCUGGCGCAGGGGACACCAUGAUCCUCAAGGUGGUUCCCUCAUUGCGAGGCCUUCUCAUUGCACUACGAGGGGCUGACCAGUGCGAUCGGCGAUGGGUCCAUAGCGUAGUAUUUAUAUUGUAGCCUCAUUGGUCGAAUUGCAGA
rnacentral:snRNA from 1 species